UCCAGCUGAGCUGCCCUGGGGGAGGGGGAGAGGACGGGAGGAGAGUAGGGCGUGGUCUUAUCCAACUUCCUCACUCCUCUCCUCCUGUCUUUUCUCCCCCGCCCGCCUGCCCACCCACCCGCC
rnacentral:precursor_RNA from 15 species